rnacentral:rRNA from 1 species
AUCUACAGCCAUGCCACCCUGAAUGUGCCCGAUCUCGUCUGAUCUCAGAAGCUAAGCAGAGUCGGGCCUGGUUAGUACUCGGAUGGGAGACCACCUAGGAAGACCAGGUGAUACAGGUG